CUUUGCAGAUUCUAGAAAAUUGGAGAUCUGUAUAUACAUUUUAUGAAGAUGAAGUUAUUAGCACAGCAUAAAAACUCUUACAACUGCAGUACAAUACUAUUAUUAUGCAGCCUUACUCUCAUCAUUUCUUCUUAUAUGUCGAUGGGCACUGUCAAUGAUAGCAAAUCAAAUGACGACCGACUAGCAUUAAUUUCUUUUAAGAAUGGAAUUACCGGAGAUCCACUGGAAGUAUUGAGUUCUUGGAACGAAAAGAAUAAUUCUAUCCCAUUCUGCGAGUGGAGAGGUGUUAAAUGUAGUCAUCAUCAUCCUAGAAGAGUGACCGGGAUUGAUCUUGAUUCCCAAGGAUUGGUAGGUUCCAUUUCUCCUCAGAUUGGAAACCUUAGCUUUCUUAAGGAUCUCAUCCUCAGCAAUAACAGUUUAAACGGUAAAAUCCCAAUGCAGAUUGGUCGUCUUUUUCGGUUAAAACACUUGGAUCUUUCAUUUAAUUCCUUGGAAGGAGUUAUUCCGCGUAAUAUUUCUCGUUGCUCCAAUCUCAUACACCUUGAUAUUUCUAGCAACAAUCUUGUGGGAGGAAUUCCAAAUGAAUUAGGUUACUUAUCUAAUCUCAAAAUCAUGUGGCUUGGUAGUAAUAAUCUAACCGGAGACAUUCCAACUUCAUUAGGUAACCUUUCAUCAUCUUUUUAUCAUCUUGUUCUCAGCAAUAACUUCUUAGAAGGAAGAAUUCCAAGCACUCUAAUUGAAUCAACAAACUUAGAACUCCUGAUUCUAGAGUCGAAUAGGUUAUCAGGUAUUGUCCAUUCUUCACUGUAUAAUGUUUCAUCACUUACAGAUCUUUCAUUGAUGAAUAAUCAACUCCAUGGGAGUAUUCCUUUUGAUAUUGGUUCCAGACUACCAAAUCUCAUCUUUUUUUCGGUUACAAAUAACAAUCUCACUGGAACCAUACCACGUUCGUUUUCCAAUAUGUCUGGACUUGAGACUUUACAGUUGGGUGGAAAUAAUUUAGUUGGAUCAGUCCCUGAUAACCUUGGUAACUUAAAAAGUCUUGAAUGGCUACAUCUAGGAGUAAAUGAACUUGGAAGUGGAGAAGCUGAUGAUCUAGACUUUCUCACUUCUCUAGUCAACUGUACCAAUUUGAGUGGUUUAAUUAUAUUUGAGAAUAAUUUUGGGGGAGUGUUACCUAGCUCUUUAGGAAAUUUCACAACAAAUCUAAAACUCAUAAUUUUUGAAGGAAAUCAGAUACACGGAAGUAUUCCAACAGGUAUUCAGAAUCUCAUAGGAUUAACAGAAGUCAUUUUGAGUUCUAACCAGUUAACAGGUAGUAUUCCUCCGAGUAUUGGGAACCUUCAAAUUGGGAAGAUUAUACCUUCAGUUUAACAAAUUAUCAGGUCCAAUUCCUUACUCCUUCGGCAACCUAACAAAACUGCUCGAACUCAGUUUAGAUCACAAUGAAUUAAUAGGCUUAAUUCCUUCAAGCCUUGGAUAUUGUAAAUCUCUGCAGGCCGUGUCCUUUGAGAGCAAUAGGUUAAGUGGUAAUAUUCCUAAACAAAUUUUCGAACUUGCCUCUUUAUCUGUUUUUCUCAACUUAGCUAAUAACUCACUUACUGGUCUACUUCCGGUAGAAGUUGGCAACUUGAAAAACAUUUGCGUGUUGCAACUGUCCAACAACAAAUUAUCUGGUGAAAUCCCAAAUAUCAUAGGCGAGUGUUUAGGGUUAAUAUAUUUAGGAUUAGAGGCGAACUUCUUUCAAGAGGGAGAGGUACCAGAAGGAGGAAUCUUUAAAGACUUGAAUUCUUUUUCUAUCAGUGGAAAUAGUAGACUCUGUAGUGGUGUACCUCACUUGAAGUUGCAGAAUUGCUCCAAGUCUUAUACGAAGCGAAAGCGGAGGAACUCAGCGAAGAUCAAAGUUAUUAUUAUUAUCAACAUAAUUCUUGUGGUUUUACUUUUAACUUUGGUGUUGUACCUAAUUUCUUAUCGGAGAAAGAAGUCGGAAACCAAACUGCCUUCAACAGCUUUAGACGUGGGUGAACGGUUAUUCAUGGGAGUUUCUUACAGUGAGCUUCUUAAAGCUACCAAUGGAUUUAAUGAUUCUACCAACUUGAUUAGUAAGGGAAGUUUUGGUUCUGUAUAUAAGGGUAUUCUUGAACAAGAUGAAUCAAAACAUGUUGCAGUUAAGGUUCUAC